CACGUAGGCGGGUCGUUAAGUCGGGGGUGAAAUCCUGGAGCUCAACUCCAGAACUGCCUUCGAUACUGGCGAUCUUGGAGUCCGGGAGAGGUGAGUGGAACUCCGAGUGUAGAGGUGAAAUUCGUAGAUAUUCGGAAGAACACCAGUGGCGAAGGCGGCUCACUGGCCCGGUACUGACGCUGAGGUGCGAAAGCGUGAGGAGCAAACAGGAUUAGAUACCCUGGUAGUCCACGCCGUAAACGAUGGAGGCUAGCCGUUGGCGAGCAUGCUCGUCAGUGGCGCAGCUAACGCAUUAAGCCUCCCGCCUGGGGAGUACGGUCGCAAGAUUAAA
rnacentral:rRNA from 1 species